rnacentral:tRNA from 1 species
GGGCACGUAGCUCAGUUGGGAGAGCGCCGCGUUCGCAAUGCGGAGGUCGUGGGUUCAACUCCCAUCGUGUCCA